UACGUAGGGUGCAAGCGUUGUCCGGAAUUAUUGGGCGUAAAGAGCUCGUAGGCGGUCUGUCGCGUCGGCUGUGAAAACCCGGGGCUCAACCCCGGGCCUGCAGUCGAUACGGGCAGACUAGAGUGCGGUAGGGGAGACUGGAAUUCCUGGUGUAGCGGUGAAAUGCGCAGAUAUCAGGAGGAACACCGAUGGCGAAGGCAGGUCUCUGGGCCGAUACUGACGCUGAGGAGCGAAAGCGUGGGGAGCGAACAGG
rnacentral:rRNA from 1 species